CUGGACCGGACUCGGGUGGUACUGGAGGAUUUCAGGGAAGGACACCACCACUAAAGAAAGCCUCCUCCUCAAUCCAGGGAAAGUUCCCUUGGCAACCACCCCAGGACCCUGCUCUCCGAGAAUCUUCUCUCCGACUUCACCGAGCCAGUCACGUCCACUGGGAGGAAACCCCUGCAGCCGUCUUCAUCCUUCAGCAGUAUGAGCCCGUCUAAUCCCAAGGCUUCCAAAAUGCUUCCCUUUGGUGGCUGAAGUCACAGAGCCACCUACCAGUGAGCCAGGACUACAUCCGGGCUUCUGCCCCAUCUUCAAGUUUUCUUCCAUCUCCCAUGCCUUUCCCUUCCUAAGCAAAAUGCAUUAGCAGAAAAAGUGAGACUGCAUUUCAUCUGUAGCAUGGAGGCUCAACAUUUUAGGGCUGAUAGCCACAUGUAUGUCCCUCACUGACUGUGUCACCAUGCUAUCUGCAGAGACACCGCGUUUCUGGGUUCCAGCAUCCCCCUGUGUCGUGGAAUCCCCGU